rnacentral:rRNA from 1 species
UACGGAGGGGACUAGCGUUGUUCGGAAUUACUGGGCGUAAAGCGCACGUAGGCGGAUUUGUAAGUCAGGGGUGAAAUCCCGGGGCUCAACCUCGGAACUGCCUUUGAUACUGCAAAUCUCGAGUCCGGAAGAGGUGAGUGGAAUUCCUAGUGUAGAGGUGAAAUUCGUAGAUAUUUGGAGGAAUACCGGUGGCGAAGGCGGCCUUCUGGACCGAUCUUGACGCUGAGACGCGAAAGCGUGGGGAGCAAACAGG